UACGGAGGGUGCGAGCGUUGUCCGGAAUCACUGGGCGUAAAGGGCGCGUAGGUGGCCCGUUAAGUGGCUGGUGAAAUCCCGCGGCUCAACUGCGGGGCUGCCGGUCAUACUGGCGAGCUAGAGCACGGUAGGGGCAGAUGGAAUUCCCGGUGUAGCGGUGGAAUGCGUAGAGAUCGGGAAGAAUACCAGUGGCGAAGGCGUUCUGCUGGGCCGUUGCUGACACUGAGGCGCGACAGCGUGGGAGCAAACAGG
rnacentral:rRNA from 1 species